GUGGUCCUGGGGCCGCCAGCAUGACCUGUGUAUUACCUCAGACACACUAAAAUGUUGCAUCAGGCAUCAAGCUCUGGGUUCCAACUUUACUCCCAAGAUAAGGAUCUAAAGGAAAUGCUUUUCCAUUAGGGGCCACUGCCACUCAGGUUUUAGGAGCACUCACCUCCAGGAUCAAGCAUGAGAAGAUGAGGAAGGAGCUCAAGGGCAGCCCAGUGACCACCUGGCUGAGCUGAGCCAGUUGCUGAGUGACCCUCAGCAGCCAAGCCAAGGGACAUCACAUGUCUGGAGACACCCAAGACUGCUCCUGGGCAAGAGGCACCUCCUUAGCAAAAAUCUGCGUGAGAACUUACAGAUGUGUCAUCACCAAAAAGAUGGGCCUCAUCUGACCAGUUGAAAAAAGACUGAUGUCUCCUGAGAAGAAGGAAUUCUGUCUUCAGAUUUGAAUUGCUGCAUCAACUCAUCCAUGGUUCUCUAGCCUGCUGCUCUAUCCUACAGGCUUCGGACUUGCCAGCUUCUGCAAAGCCUUCACUGACUACAGCCAGCACAUGGACUGACAAGUGAGCGAGCUGCCAAGGGACUGUCACCGCCACAGGGCGGCCCCUCAAACUCGACCUGCCAUUUGCCUCAGAGGACUGUUCGGUGGGCAGCGUGCUGGGCCGGAGCUUGAAGUGAUCCCGCGGGAGACACGUGAUGACACUGUUUGUCGUUAAUAUCAAGAAGCUGCUCCCUCCUGGGGGCGGGGAGAUGCUGCCCGGCACAGCGGUGCUGCCUUUCGAAUACUAUGUGUUAGUGUAGGAGGCUGCGGAGUUGCUGCACUCAUUUGAUGCCACAGCUGGAACGGAAGCUGUACCAUGAAAGGCAGAGCGAAGAGACAAGGAAGCCAGGUGCUUGAAGACCAGAUCAAGCUUCACCUGCAGCCAGAUCUAUUUGUAGAUUGUUCAGAUUUUCUUUAUUUACACCAAUUUGAGUUGCAUUUUUCACUACUUGCCACA